rnacentral:rRNA from 1 species
GUGCCAGCAGCCGCGGUAAUACCGGCAGCUCGAGUGGUCGUCGCUUUUAUUGGACCUAAAACGUCCGUAGCCUGUUUGGUAAAUCUGUGGGUAAAUCAACGAGCUUAACUCGUUGAAUUCUACAGAGACUGCCAGACUAGGGACCGGGAGAGGUAUGAGGUACUCUGGGGGUAGGGGUAAAAUCCUGUCAUCCUCAGAGGACCACCUGUUGCGAAGGCGUCAUACUGGAACGGAUCCGGCGGUCAGGGACGAAGCCUAGGGGCACGAACCGGAUUAGAUACCCGGGUAGUCCUAGGUGUAAACGCUGUGGAUUUGGUGUGUGGGGUCCGCAAUGGGCCCCAUGUGCCGGAGUGAAGAUGUUAAAUCCACUGCCUGGGGAGUACGGUCGCAAGGCUGAAACUUAAAGGAAUUGGCGGGGGAGCACUGCAACGGGAGGAGCGUGCGGUUUAAUUGGAUUCAACGCCGGAAAACUCACCAGGGCCGACUGUUAGAUGAAGACCAGUGUAACGAACUUGUCGGAUUUUCAGAGAGGUGGUGCAUGGCCGUCGUCAGUUCGUACUGUAAAGCGUUCUGUUAAGUCAGAUAACGAACGAGACCCUCAUCUCUAUUUGCUACCCGUCUCUCCGGAGGCGGCGCACUAUAGGGAGACCGCUGGUGUUAAACCAGAGGAAGGCGAGGGCAACGACAGGUCAGUAUGCCCCGAAUCUCCCGGGCUACACGCGCGCUACAAAGGCCAGGACAAUGGGCUUCGACACCGAAAGGUGGUGGCAACCCCGAAACCUGGUCGUAAUUCGGAUUGAGGGCUGCAAUUCGCCCUCAUGAAGCUGGAAUACGUAGUAAUCGCGGGUCAACAUCCCGCGGUGAAUAUGCCCCUGCUCCUUGCACACACCGCCC